GAGGUGGAGCGAAUCUCCAAAAAAUUAGUCCCAGUUCAGAUUGCAGGCUGCAACUCGCCUGCAUGAAGUCGGAAUUGCUAGUAAUCGUGGAUCAGCAUGCCACGGUGAAUACGUUCCCGGGCCUUGUACACACCGCCCGUCACACCAUGGGAGUCGGUAACACCCGAAGCCUGUAGUCUAACCGCAAGGAGGACGCAGUCGAAGGUGGGAUUGAUGACUGGGGUGAAGUCGUAACAAGGUACC
rnacentral:rRNA from 1 species